rnacentral:rRNA from 1 species
UAGGGAAUCUUCCACAAUGGACGAAAGUCUGAUGGAGCAACGCCGCGUGAGUGAAGAAGGGUUUCGGCUCGUAAAACUCUGUUGUUAAAGAAGAACAUAUCUGAGAGUAACUGUUCAGGUAUUGACGGUAUUUACCAGAAAGGAACGGCUAAAUACGUGCCAA